GAUGAACGCUCGCGGCAGGCCUAACACAUGCAAGUCGAGGGAGGAGCCUUCGGGCUUCGACCGGCGUACGGGUGCGUAACGCGUAUACAAUCUGCCUUUCACAUAGGGAUAGCCCGAAGAAAUUUGGAUUAAUACCUAAUGGUAUAUAGAUGUGGCAUCACCUUUAUAUUAAAGCUGAGGCGGUGAAAGAUGAGUAUGCGUUCUAUUAGCUAGUUGGAGAGGUAACGGCUCCCCAAGGCGACGAUAGAUAGGGGUUCUGAGAGGGAUAUCCCCCACACUGGUACUGAGAUACGGACCAGACUCCUACGGGAGGCAGCAGUGAGGAAUAUUGGACAAUGGUCGGAAGACUGAUCCAGCCAUGCCGCGUGCAGGAAGACGGCCUUAUGGGGUGUAAACUGCUUUUGCAGGGGAAGAAUAAGGACUACGCGUAGUUUGAUGACGGUACUCUGCGAAUAAGCAUCGGCUAACUCCGU
rnacentral:rRNA from 1 species